AGUGAACGCUGGCGGUAGGUCUAACACAUGCAAGUCGAACGGCAGCACAGUAAGAGCUUGCUCUUACGGGUGGCGAGUGGCGGACGGGUGAGGAAUACAUCGGAAUCUACUUUUUCGUGGGGGAUAACGUAGGGAAACUUACGCUAAUACCGCAUACGACCUACGGGUGAAAGCAGGGGAUCUUCGGACCUUGCGCGAUUGAAUGAGCCGAUGUCGGAUUAGCUAGUUGGCGGGGUAAAGGCCCACCAAGGCGACGAUCCGUAGCUGGUCUGAGAGGAUGAUCAGCCACACUGGAACUGAGACACGGUCCAGACUCCUACGGGAGGCAGCAGUGGGGAAUAUUGGACAAUGGGCGCAAGCCUGAUCCAGCCAUACCGCGUGGGUGAAGAAGGCCUUCGGGUUGUAAAGCCCUUUUGUUGGGAAAGAAAAGCGGCAGGUUAAUACCCCGCUGUUCUGACGGUACCCAAAGAAUAGGCACCGGCUAACUUCG
rnacentral:rRNA from 1 species